rnacentral:tRNA from 1 species
GGCUUCAUGGUCGAGUGGUAAGGACACUUGCCUCUUACCCUGGAGUACUGGGUUCGAUCCCCGAUCGAGGAGCUA